rnacentral:hammerhead_ribozyme from 1 species
AGGCGAAACGCCCUGCGGGGCGUCGUCCCAGCGCGGUUGCUGGGGCCUGAUGAUGCCAGCCUGCA